UACGAAGGGGGCUAGCGUUGUUCGGAAUUACUGGGCGUAAAGGGCGCGUAGGCGGCCUCACAAGUCAGGAGUGAAAUCCCUAGGCUCAACCUAGGAAUUGCUUUUGAGACUGUGGAGCUUGAGUGCAGGAGAGGUGAGUGGAAUUCCCAGUGUAGAGGUAAAAUUCGUAGAUAUUGGGAGGAACACCGGUGGCGAAGGCGGCUCACUGGCCUGUAACUGACGCUGAGGCGCGAAAGCGUGGGGAGCAAACAGG
rnacentral:rRNA from 1 species